rnacentral:rRNA from 1 species
GACGAACGCUGGCGGCGUGCUUAACACAUGCAAGUCGAACGGAAAGGCCCUGCUUUUGUGGGGUGCUCGAGUGGCGAACGGGUGAGUAACACGUGAGUAACCUGCCCUUGACUUUGGGAUAACUUCAGGAAACUGGGGCUAAUACCGGAUAGGAGCUCCUGCUGCAUGGUGGGGGUUGGAAAGUUUCGGCGGUUGGGGAUGGACUCGCGGCUUAUCAGCUUGUUGGUGGGGUAGUGGAUUACCAAGGCUUGGACGGGUAGCCGGCCUGGGAGGGGGACCGGCCACAUUGGGACGGAGAUACGGCCCAGACUCCUACGGGAGGCAGCAGUGGGGAAUAUUGCACUAUGGGCGGAAGCCUGAUGCAGCAACGCCGCGUGGGGGAUGACGGCCUUCGGGUUGUAAACCGCUUUCGCCUGUGACGAAGCGUGAGUGACGGUAAUGGGUAAAGAAGCACCGGCUAACUACGUG